rnacentral:rRNA from 1 species
GAUGAACGCUGGCGGCGUGCCUAAUACAUGCAAGUCGAGCGAACAGACGAGGAGCUUGCUCCUCUGACGUUAGCGGCGGACGGGUGAGUAACACGUGGAUAACCUACCUAUAAGACUGGGAUAACUUCGGGAAACCGGAGCUAGUACCGGAUAAUAUAUUGAACCGCAUGGUUCAAUAGUGAAAGACGGUUUUGCUGUCACUUAUAGAUGGAUCCGCGCCGCAUUAGCUAGUUGGUAAGGUAACGGCUUACCAAGGCAACGAUGCGUAGCCGACCUGAGAGGGUGAUCGGCCACACUGGAACUGAGACACGGUCCAGACUCCUACGGGAGGCAGCAGUAGGGAAUCUUCCGCAAUGGGCGAAAGCCUGACGGAGCAACGCCGCGUGAGUGAUGAAGGUCUUCGGAUCGUAAAACUCUGUCAUUAGGGAAGAACAAAUGUGUAAGUAACUAUGCACGUCUUGACGGUACCUAAUCAGAAAGCCACGGCUAACUACGUG